GACGAACGCUGGCGGCGUGCUUAACACAUGCAAUUCGAACGGAAAGCCCCUGCUUUUUUGGGUUGCUCGAGUGGCAAACGGUUGAUUAACACUUGGUUAACCUGCCCUUGACUUUGGGUUAACUUCAGGAAACUGGGGCUAAUACCGGAUAGGAGCUCCUCCUCCUUGGUGGGGGUUGGAAAGUUUCGGCGGUUGGGGAUGGACUCGCGGCUUAUCAGCUUGUUGGUGGGGUAGUGGCUUACCAAGGCUUUGACGGGUAGCCGGCCUGAGAGGGUGACCGGCCACAUUGGGACUGAGAUACGGCCCAGACUCCUACGGGAGGCAGCAGUGGGGAAUAUUGCACAAUGGGCGGAAGCCUGAUGCAGCAACGCCGCGUGCGGGAUGACGGCCUUCGGGUUGUAAACCGCUUUCGCCUGUGACGAAGCGUGAGUGACGGUAAUGGGUAAAGAAGCACCGGCUAACUACGUG
rnacentral:rRNA from 1 species